GCGGUACCUAUUGAUCUACUCACAUUGGCAUGUUUUCAAGCUGCUAGGUUGGCAGAAGCUGGAGCUAACAGCAGGCACUCACUCUGCUCCCGGGAUUUGAACCUGGGACCUUUCGGUCUGCAAGUUCAGCAGCUCAGUGCUUUAACACACUUCACCAUCGGGGCUCAUAUAUAUAUAAUAUACAUACACAUACACACAAUGUGGAGAAUAUGUGGAAAGGUAGAUAGAUAGAUAAGUUGGGAGCCACAGCGAAGGCACCUUCCUGGGAGCAAGGUCUAAUAAUAAUAAUAAUAAUAAUAAUAAUAAUAAUAAUAAUAAAAUCCCUUACAAAAUCCAAGAUGGGUACCAUUAUUGGCAGAGAAAGCCAAGCUGUAGGAGUUGAAAUCCAAUCAUUUAUCCUCCCUAUAGAAUCAAUUUUAUAUGCAUUUUUAGCUACAGAAAAGCUAAAAUCAGGACAGUAAAAGAACAACACCCAGAAAAUGGGAAUUCCAGACAGGAAACAAUCAGGGCCAGCUAAUACCUCCCAGCAAAGGAUUCCCCCAGGUAGGAAGCAGCCAGGCUUUGAAGCUGCAAGGCUAUUCAAUGCUAAUCAAGGUGACCAAUUGCAACAUUCACACUUGCCUCCCACAGACAAGAGUUCUUUCUCCCACCUUGGACCUUCCACAGAUAUAUAAACCCCACUUGCCUAGCUUCGCACAGACGUCAAAACCUCACCGCCGGGCCCCUCUCUGUCUCUCUCGGUCUCUCCAUUCCCGGCUCCAUCCGCCGCCUUCCCGCCUCACAGAGAGACACCAGGCCUGAGCUGAGGCGAGGCGGCGGCGGCGGCGGCCAUUUCCCCCCUCCGUCUUCCUCCUCGGCCUCCUUCCCCCUCGCCCCCUCCCAUUGGCUGAGCCCGUGACGCCCCUUUUGCUGAGGGGCAAAAGGAAAGGGCCUGAAUGGUGGGAGUUUGGGUGAUUUGCAAAAGCUUUUUUUUCCUAACGAAAAAAACGACGACAUAACGAAAAACGGCCUCUCGCGAUUUGAAACCGCGAUAUCCAGACGUGUGGACAACCAAUGCUUCAAAAUUGCUUCAAAACAAACGAAAAUAACGAAUUAAUAACGGUUAACGGGGAAAACGAAUUAUUUGAGCAAGCCUACUCUAUACUCUGAGAGGCCUAUUUCUGUGGCCCUUACAAGUCACAUCUCUUUUUAUGUUUGGAACCUUUAUAGUGUUUGCUUAUCUCUUCGACAAACUCCUGACAGAUGGCCAGCCAAUAUCUCCACAAUCUCCACUAUAAAAUAAUAGAAUCCUACAGUCACAUAGAGACCCCUAAAGGCCAUCCAGUAUAAACUCCUUCUACCAUGCAAGACCACACAAUCCAAACACUCCUGACAGAUGGCCAUCCAUAUCUCCACAAUCUCCACCAUAAAAAUAAUAAUAAAAUCCUACAGUCACAGAGUUAGGAGAGACCCCUAAAGCCCAUCCAGUCCAACCCCUUCCUGCCAUGGAGAACACAUUCCCAACAAAUUGUCAGAGUAAAUCGCAGCGUAGCAGCAGUUGUAUGUUGUCAAUGGAGCGCAGAAAAGAAGAGACAUCAGAAACGAUGGUAAAAAAUAUAUACAAAGCUUUACUUUACAAGACAAAUAGACUUUGAGACGAACACAGGCUUGGCUUUCACUCUAGGCAGACACAAACUCAGAACAGAGCAAGAUCUCAAUUGACGCAAUCAGUAAUGUACAAACACUUGAGUCUGGAUACUCCCAAGGUUCCAGCCACACAAGGUCAACACAGCUUCUCAGUCAUUAACUCUUUAGAGACUAUAGCAUACUCUGGAUGAUGCAACCUGUAUGCAAUACAUGCCAGACACAAAUUUCAUUUAAACACUACUAAUACACAAAUCCCACAUUAACACAAAUGGCCAUACAGCCUCUUCAUAAUAAUAAUACUAAUAACAAUAUCAUGGAAUCCUCAUGUUUCCACACAGCCCUAAUAAUCAUCCAGACAGGGGGAAACUAACUGCGAAUGAGGUUCUGGACCUGCUGGAACUUCUCCUGCCUCCCUCCUUGGAAUGCUUCUUCCGCGAUCCGGCAGCAAAUGACGGCGAUCCAGUUGCAGACCCUCUCUGUUGGGAUCAAGGAGGGGUCCCGGGACGCCACCAUGCAUAUGGCUGUCGAAGAAUCACUAGAAGUAUAAUAAACACAUAACAGUAAAUAUUAAAAUAGGAUAGGAUAAUUAAUCUUACAAUAAAUACAUGACCUAAAAUAUAAAAGCAUUAAAAUACAAAUGUAAUAAAUACAGAACCAUCUCUAUAUAUAAAAGGGUAGUGACGUUUUGGCCAAGGACAAAACAACAAAACUACACAUCCCAGAAACACUAAACUUGGCAGUACAACCCCUCACCCAUGCCUCUAUGUUCAUACAACAAACAGUUCCCGCUACUCCAGGCUUUGCGGCUGCAAGGCUAUUCACUGCUAUUCCACCUGGCCAACAAAGGAUUCCCAUCAGCCACAGCAACGCGUGGCCGGGCAAAGCUAGUCUUCUUAUAUUCUGCCAGAAUUGUUUUGAUUCUGAAGUACUUCCAGACAUAUAAGUUCAUCUGGUGGUUGUUGUAAAGGUGGCAGUUUUCCACUCUUACAGCACAACCUCGGUGUCACGCUUACUUCAAACGACCAGCAUGAACACAGACCAAAGGUAACUGCUAUCAAAACCAAUCUUUAUUGAAGAACACACGACUUGGAAAAGUCGAGAAUGACAUAAUGUUUACAUACAAUCAUCUAUUACCUUCGCUACAACGUCACCCCACACGUAAAUAUCAUCACCCAAGCCCCACCCCAUGUAUCAUUUUCACCACCACAACACAAACUACUCAUUAAAAUUGUUUUGAUUCUCACUCCAAAAUUUCCCAUGCUUUGCUGCCAGGUGUCCGUAGGAGCUAUAGAGGAGUGCGAAUUGUUAUGGCUCCGAUUCAAGAGCUUGCAGACUCAGCUCUUGGAAUCGGUCCCAUGACACUCGGUGGCUCCAUUUUAAAUUUCUUGGCAUGACAAUACAUACAUAUUUGGUCCAUGUGUCCAAUAAUAACAGUUGGAUAUUGAUCCUAGUCCUUAUGAGGAUCAUAGUGAAAACCUUCAAGCAACAAAUUUGUGUGUUUCCUUGUUGUGAUGACUUUUUCCCUGGUUUCUUGAAGUUGGGCAUUAUCCUGUUCUGGAGUGUCUGCUGCUCUUGACAUAGUCUGGCCUGACAUUGUUUUGAAAUCUCUGCUGAUCUGGAUGCUCUGGCAUUUGCUCGCUUUUGUUGAAGUCUGGCUUGUUGCUGUUCUGGAGUCUUAUGUUGCUCCAAGUCUGUCCUGAUGCUAUUGUGGAAUUUCUGCAAUCUUUAAUGCAUUAGUUGUUUCCUGUUUAUUAUCAAGUCAGCAAUCAAUUGACUCCAUUGCUUGCAAGUAUUUUCCCUUUUUUGCUUGUGGUGGGAUUUUUCCUUUGGUAGAUUUCCUUUUUUGAGACAUUUUGAAGUUACCACACCUGAUAAAAGAAAAAUAAUAGGAUUAAGAUUUUUUGUAUUUAGGGUUCAGGGAAUAAGUUAGAACAGUGGACAUUACAGAAAAUGUCCCUAAUAAUUUUUGUUUCUGUUGCUUUUUGGUGAGGGUCAGGGCUGUUCCGAAAUGAUCCUGGAUGAAACUGCCCUUUUUGGAACUACGUUGAAGGAGGAGGCUAAGCAGUUGUGCAGCGUAACCGGCCCAAUACAGUCUGCAGGAAGGGUCAAUGGGGGCUGGGGGGGGGGGUAGAACUUUUCAUAAAUACACACAGUGUGCACACACAUACACAGACAUUCAAAGCAAAUAUCUGACAUAUAGAUACCAUCUCUUGGACAUUUCCAUAUAUGUUUGUGUAUAUUCAUUUAUAUUAUUUUUUCCUGGUCACAGACAUACCUUCAAUUUGCUAUUUUUUAAUGAAAAGAAAUGGAAAGUACUCAAAGCAGGAGGGGAUAGUCUGCCAAACCUCUUAUUGCUUAAAAGGAAUCAUUAAAAAGAUAAUAAUUAUCCCCUUUGUCUUUUGAAUAAAGUAUGACCUUACCUUGUGUAGGAACAGUGCUGUUUCCAAAUUAUCCUGUAAGAAGUCACCUUGUUUGGAAUAAUGUUGAAUUCAGAAGAGGGGAGGCUGUUGUGUGGCGUAACAGUCUUGGGACAGCUUGGAAGACCUGAAAGUGUAAAAGGGUGAACUACAACUCCCAGAGCAAGAAGUGAGUGAAGCUACUUGGUUCAUCCUCCCCCAAUCUGCUCUAGGAUGGAAAGGGGUUCGUGGUAGUUCUGUGUACCAAGUUUGAUAAAGUUCCGUCACUGGAGGGCUUCGGAGUGGUUUGUGGGAAUCGUAGCGAUUGAAAGUACAGUAGAGUCUCACUUAUCCAACAUAAUGUUGGAUAAGCGAAUAUGUUGGAUAAUAAGGAGGCAUUAAGGAUAAGGCUAUCAAACAUCAAAUUAUUUUAUGAUUUUACAAAUUAAGCACCAAAACAUCAUGUUAUACAACAAAUUUGACAGAAAAAGUAGUUCAAUACGCAGUAAUGUUAGGUUGUAAUUACUGUAUUUACGAGUUUAGCACCAAAAUAUCACGAUAUAUUGAAAACAUUGACUACAAAAAUGCCUUGGAUUAACCAGAGGCUUGGAUAAGCGAGGCUUGGAUAAGUGAGACUCUACUGUAUUAAGAGGGCAGAAUGGAGAGAGACAGAAAGGACGGGCUUCUGUUUCGCUGACGGACUAGCGGCUCUAGUUUUCCUCCCAGCUGUACGCAAGGCCAUCGUCCGGCGUCUUGGACGAAGGAAGGCUCUUCCCCCCGGAUCACAACGUUCACUUCAUUGGAGUCGCGCUGUCUCGCCUGAUUGUAAAAUGUGGGAGUUGGAGGGAGGGAGCAGCUGGGAAUAGCAGCAGUGCUCCCGUUGUAUGUUCCUCCGCAGCUGGGCAAUAGAAGGUUGCCCAAACUUGGUGGCCAGGGCCCACACGGGGAGGGUGUUUGGGGGCACUCGGUCCGCAAAUUUCAGAAGCAGCGUCACCUGGCUGGUCCUGGUCCAGGGUGAGUGAGGGCCCUCCUUCCCUCGGUUGGGGUCUUGCUGGGCGCCUCCCUCCUUGCCACGUCCCGGCUCCGCUCCCGGAGGAACGUGCUUGUAAAGCAGCAGAACUGCUGGCCAAAGACUUGAAAGUGAGCAUCCAACCUAUGUCUCUUGCCUCCGCAAUUUUUAUUACUACCCCGCCCUUCUCACCCGUCAAGGGACGCAGGGCGGCUUACAAUCUAUAUAUAUAAAAGGGUAAUGAAAUUUCGGCCUAGGACAAAACAACAAAACUACACAUCCCAGAAACACUAAACUUGGCAGCACAACCCCUCAUCCAUGCCUCUACAUUCAUACAACAAAAGAAAAGAAAAAUAAAGUCCUAAUUAGAGGGAGAAGAUUGUUUUUAUCCAAUUGCUGCCAGUUAGAAGGCUAAGCUCCUCCCACUUGGUCUCCUCGCAACCCUCUCAGCCCAGGAGACAGGCAGAGUUAGGCCUCACUUAGGCCUCUUCCACACUGCCUAUAAAAUACAGAUUAUCUGAUUUUAACUGGAUUAUAUGGGAGUGUAGACUCAAGGCCCUUCCACACAGCUAUAUAACCCAUUUAUAAUGGACUUAAUGUCAGGGGAAAACCUUAACCCUUUACCUUAACUACCACCAAUUCCUCAAUACUUUAUUUCCCGUACCACCAUACUUCGCCACAGUAACGCGUGGCCGGGCACAGCUAGAUUAAACAUAUAUAUAAAAUCCAUCGAGAUUAAAAAUUACAAUAAAAUUAAGAGUAUACAUUAAAAUAUACAUAAUUAUACAUUAAAAUAUACAUUUAAGGCAAUUUCCAUGUCCAGGUGUGGUCUGUCAGUAGGUCAUAUAUUCCUAUCUCAUUUUUGCUGCUACUUAUGCUCAAAUGCCUGGUCCCAUAACUACGUUUUAGUUCUCUUCGGAAAGACAGGAGGAAGGGAGCCUGCCUGACUUCAAUGGGGAAGGGCGUUCCAUAGACGGGGAGCCACUACUGAAAAUGCCCUGUCUCAACCAUUAGAGAAAGAUAGAUCCAUUUCGCCAGAGAUGUGGAAGUCAAACCACCGAUUUUUUAAACUUGUUUUGUGAUUUAAUGUAUUUGUUAUUCUUGUUGGGUUUUUUUUUCUUUUUUCUCUCUUUUUUUUCUUCUUUUUUUUUCUCUUUUCUUCUUUUCCCCUUGUAUGUUUUCCUUUCCCUAGUAUAGCUGUGUGCACAAUGCCCUGUCUCAUCCCCGCCAGAUGCACCUGUGAGGCUGACGGGGACCGCGAGCAGGGCCUCACCUGAUGAUCUUAAGCUUCGAGAUGGGUCACAGCGGGAAACACGUUCGGACAGAGAAGCGUAAGGAAAUUAAAGAACCAAACUCCUUCAUGAAAGAGAAAGAAUAAGAAAGAAGAAACUGAGGAGGGGGCGUCACCCCCCCAUGCUUCCAGAGACCCUCUUUUUCUGCCACUCCAUCCAUUGCCCAACCCUCACUUCCUCUUGGUUGAUGGCUUCCCGAUGUUGCACUUGUUCACCUGCAAAGUGCAAUGAGAAUGAAAGAGGUGGGGGCUGCCCUCCAGGAACCCUACAGAGAUGCCUUCUUCCAAGACCCCAGGACCUCUGUCUUGAGCCCUCCCCCCUUCCAGCCAAUGGGGCAGGCAGUGCCUUAAACGAAAAUGGGUUCCCUGGAACUACAAAGACAAGUAUCCACUAUUACAGUAAUACAGAAAUCAUUAAACCUAGAUUUAGUUCAAUACAUCAAUAUGAAAACAGAUACAAAAGGCAUUCUGUUAUAUUCACAGUAGAAACAAUAUUUUUCUCUUGAAGGAUUAAUUUACUCUUCUCAUAAACAGUAAAUGUUCUGUAGUUGUUUGAUCGUUCCACAUACACAAAUUGAGUCCUCUUGUAUAUAAUGA